UCAGGAACCAUCGAGAUCAUCGGUUUAGUUUUCUUAUUUUGAUUUAUUAAAAAAAAAGAAUUUACCAAAAAAAAAAAAUAUUAUUUUGACCCAAAAAAAAAAAAAAAUAGUACUUUGAUCAUAUUUGUCUCUUGGUGUAUGUUUUUAGAAAGUUAAUGAAGGAAAACUGGACAGUAUAUAUAUAUUUAAACAGCAAGAUGCUCGGAAGGAUGCUCUGAGUGAACAGGGAGAAGAGAGAGAGAGAAUCCAAAUCAUAGAAUAACCAUCGCAAAUUUCUCUUCUCUUUUUAUUUUUGAAGAAUAACAAUUCAACGCAGCAGCCAAAAGGUAGAACCAAAAAAAUAAAUACAAAUAAAGAAAAUUUAACCAUCACUCGAGUUUCAACUCAUCAUCUGUGAGGUUCCCUUACUUCAACAACUUGAGCUAUAUAUUCAUACAUAUAUAUAACCAUACUUCAUCCAUCAAUGUAUCAUAUACACUUCAGUUCUUCAAGAAAAAUUAGACUACAAAAUUAUUCUUUUGAAGAAAAGGACUUUCCUCUCUUCUAAUAUAACAAAGAAAUUUAAAAGGAAAGAAGUAACAAUAUAUACACAGUAUUAAAGUCGGGAUACAAGAACAAUACAAAAGAAAAAAAGACUGGACCAACUACAAAUGAAAACGAAUCCACAGCCCUCUUCAAUGAAUGACGAUACGAGUAAUAGCAAUCAUCAAUCACCUUAAAGUUGUCCUCAAACGCUCGGAAUUCACAGCAGGCUUUUUAUGUUGAGUUUUCAAAAAAAAAAAUAUUAAUAAAUUGAACGGCAUAAGGCACGCGGUGAAUGCCAAGCGAAUUUGGACAUUUGCAUCAUGCUUUGCUUACGGAGUCCCUAGUACAUGUUGUUUGUUUCUUUGUCUGUCUGUCUUCAAUUAUAUUCAUUUUAAAACUUGAUAGUAUGAAAUACACAUUCCGUUGAUUUUAAAAA
rnacentral:lncRNA from 1 species